ACGCUAGCUACAGGCUUAACACAUGCAAGUCGAGGGGCAUCAGGAAGAAAGCUUGCUUUCUUUGCUGGCGACCGGCGCACGGGUGAGUAACACGUAUCCAACCUGCCCUUUACUCGGGGAUAGCCUUUCGAAAGAAAGAUUAAUACCCGAUGGCAUAAUGAUUCCGCAUGGUUUCAUUAUUAAAGGAUUCCGGUAAAGGAUGGGGAUGCGUUCCAUUAGGUUGUUGGUGAGGUAACGGCCCACCAAGCCUUCGAUGGAUAGGGGUUCUGAGAGGAAGGUCCCCCACAUUGGAACUGAGACACGGUCCAAACUCCUACGGGAGGCAGCAGUGAGGAAUAUUGGUCAAUGGGCGGUAGCCUGAACCAGCCAAGUAGCGUGAAGGAUGAAGGCUCUAUGGGUCGUAAACUUCUUUUAUAUAAGAAUAAAGUGCAGUAUGUAUACUGUUUUGUAUGUAUUAUAUGAAUAAGGAUCGGCUAACUCCGUGCCAGCAGCCGCGGUAAUACGGAGGAUCCGAGCGUUAUCCGGAUUUAUUGGGUUUAAAGGGAGCGUAGGUGGACUGGUAAGUCAGUUGUGAAAGUUUGCGGCUCAACCGUAAAAUUGCAGUUGAUACUGUCAGUCUUGAGUACAGUAGAGGUGGGCGGAAUUCGUGGUGUAGCGGUGAAAUGCUUAGAUAUCACGAAGAACUCCGAUUGCGAAGGCAGCUCACUGGACUGCAACUGACACUGAUGCUCGAAAGUGUGGGUAUCAAACAGGAUUAGAUACCCUGGUAGUCCACACAGUAAACGAUGAAUACUCGCUGUUUGCGAUAUACAGUAAGCGGCCAAGCGAAAGCAUUAAGUAUUCCACCUGGGGAGUACGCCGGCAACGGUGAAACUCAAAGGAAUUGACGGGGGCCCGCACAAGCGGAGGAACAUGUGGUUUAAUUCGAUGAUACGCGAGGAACCUUACCCGGGCUUAAAUUGCAGUGGAAUGAUGUGGAAACAUGUCAGUGAGCAAUCACCGCUGUGAAGGUGCUGCAUGGUUGUCGUCAGCUCGUGCCGUGAGGUGUCGGCUUAAGUGCCAUAACGAGCGCAACCCUUAUCUUCAGUUACUAACAGGUCAUGCUGAGGACUCUGGAGAGACUGCCGUCGUAAGAUGUGAGGAAGGUGGGGAUGACGUCAAAUCAGCACGGCCCUUACGUCCGGGGCUACACACGUGUUACAAUGGGGGGUACAGAAGGCAGCUAGCGGGUGACCGUAUGCUAAUCCCAAAAGCCUCUCUCAGUUCGGAUCGAAGUCUGCAACCCGACUUCGUGAAGCUGGAUUCGCUAAUAAUCGCGCAUCAGCCACGGCGCGGUGAAUACGUUCCCGGGCCUUGUACACACCGCCCGUCAAGCCAUGGGAGCCGGGGGUACCUGAAGUACGUAACCGCAAGGAUCGUCCUAGGGUAAAACUGGUGACUGGGGC
rnacentral:rRNA from 1 species